rnacentral:rRNA from 1 species
UACGGGGGGGUAAGCGUUGUUCGGAAUUACUGGGCGUAAAGGGCUCGUAGGCGGCCAACUAAGUCAGACGUGAAAUCCCUCAGCUUAACUGGGGAACUGCGUCUGAUACUGGAUGGCUUGGAUUCGGGAGAGGAAUGCGGAAUUCCAGGUGUAGCGGUGAAAUGCGUAGAUAUCUGGAGGAACACCGGUGGCGAAGGCGGCAUUCUGGACCGAUAUUGACGCUGAGGCGCGAAAGCGUGGGGAGCAAACAGG